GAGCUCGUAGGCGGUUUGUCGCGUCUGCUGUGAAAACGCGAGGCUUACCUAGCGCCUGCAGUGGGUACGGGCAGACUAGAGUGCGGUAGGGGAGAUUGGAAUUCCUGGUGUAGCGGUGGAAUGCGCAGAUAUCAGGAGGAACACCGAUGGCGAAGGCAGAUCUCUGGGCCGUUACUGACGCUGAGGAGCGAAAGCGUGGGGAGCGAACAGGAUUAGAUACCCUGGUAGUCCACGCCGUAAACGUUGGGAACUAGAUGUGGGGUCCAUUCCACGGAUUCCGUGUCGCAGCUAACGCAUUAAGUUCCCCGCCUGGGGAGUACGGCCGCAAGGCUAAAACUCAAAGGAAUUGACGGGGGCCCGCACAAGCGGCGGAGCAUGCGGAUUAAUUCGAUGCAACGCGAAGAACCUUACCAAGGCUUGACAUGCACCUGAAAAGGCUGGAAACAGUCUCCUCGCAAGACAGGUGCACAGGUGGUGCAUGGUUGUCGUCAGCUCGUGUCGUGAGAUGUUGGGUUAAGUCCCGCAACGAGCGCAACCCUCGUUCUAUGUUUGCCAGCGCGUCAUGGCGGGAACUCAUAGGAGACUGCCGGGGUCAACUCGGAGGAAGGUGGGGAUGACGUCAAAUCAUCAUGCCCCUUAUGUCUUGGGCUUCACGCAUGCUACAAUGGCCGGUACAAAGGGCUGCGAUACCGCAAGGUGGAGCGAAUCCCAAAAAGCCGGUCUCAGUUCGGAUUGAGGUCUGCAACUCGACCUCAUGAAG
rnacentral:rRNA from 1 species